rnacentral:tRNA from 2 species
GCACUGGUGGUUCAAUGGUAGAAUUCCUGCCUCCCAUGUAGGAGACCUGGGUUCAAUUCCCAGCCAGUGCA